ACUACAGGAGAAGAGGGAAAUUUUCUCAUUAAAGUUACAUCCCUGCAGUUAGUUCAAUUACUUGAUAUAUGCAGAAGAUGUUGUAAAUUUAAAGAUUUAAAUAGCUUACAAAGAUGCCGGAGGCUCCAUCAGUUAAUUUCCUUAAUUUAUGGAUUUUUAGCUGAGCUUCUGAAAUGAAAAGGAGAAUGAGAACUAGGUCAGCGGAGAGAUUUGCAUCCAGAACAGACUUAAAUUUGUUUUCCUUGACCAUCCCACCGGCCCAGACCAAAGACCGAACGGCACCUGGGAUGAAAGAGGCGCGCACAUGAUGACACUGGGAAUUUGGAGCAGCAAAGCAUCUCCCCACGUUUCUGCAUGUGCCUAGCACACUGGGAACCCAUUUCUUACCUGGACUCCAGUGCUCACCACAUGACUGCUGACAAGAGCCAUGUCAUCAGCUCUGCUGGGGAGGUUAAAUGAUGAGGGAUACAAGCAGGGAUACACUUGGGUCUGUGCAAGGAUCCCAUACUGCUUCUGCAUUUGCUGCCUUUAGGAGUUUCACCGUUCAGUCACAGGCCUGAAAUUCAAAUGCAGCCUUUUUCCCCUGUGGGCCACGUAUUUACUUGCUUUUCAAAAGCAUCUUACAUUCAUAUUCCCAGAAUGGCAGGGUGUUUCCACUGUGAAAAGGGCAGUUCUUCCAAGAGGAUUAAAGGUUCUUCUUCCACACGUCUGAGGAAUGAUAAAGCCAGGUGAUAGCUGCUGCGCGCUGAGGGGUGGCAGGGAUGGGGCUCCUCUUCCCCCUCACUCUGCAUUUGUGGAGCUGGUAAGAAAUCUGCUUGGUUUUGGGGAAGGAAAAGGACCCGAGGCCGCUCUCACGCGGCACCUUGGCAGCAUCAUUCCUCCCUCAUCCCCACUUUGGCUCAUCAGAUGUAUUUUGCCCUUUGUUUCUUCAACUGAAGGCCGCUGCCGGUGUGGUCCUGCUCCUCAGUGCUGCCAUGUUAGGAUGGCAAAUCCCCGUUUCUCUUGUUGUGCCACAUGAAACUAAAAAUACUGGCCCCACUGGAGUUGCUGCUACAUUAAAGAUGUAAGUGAAAUAAAAAAUCACUUUCAGAGCUUUUUAUUUUUUAUUUAAUUUUUAAUUAAUCUUAAUUAAUUUGAAUUUCGAAGCGAUCUGAAAAAUAGCUUUAAAUGAGUAGAUAUAUAUAUUUCGAUUUUCAUUUCCAGCGCUAAGCGCAUGAAUAAUGCAGGACAAACGCUGUGGCUCCAUCUGUAGUGCAGGAGCCAGAGUUUGUGUGGGACAGGCGACAGUGGCCAAAGGGCUGGAGCCUCUCAUCUCGUCAGAGCUGUGCAAGAGAGCCGGGCCCGGGACAGCCAAGGGCUCCUUCUCGCCGUGGGGACUGCUGGGCCGGCUGCCCUGGGCCGGGAGGCAGCGAUCUGGACUCUGUGGAAGGCACCCUGAGCCUCUUUCCCGCGCGCCGCCUCAGCCCGCCGCUCUCUCCUCAGCCCGCUCCGGCCUUCCCGCCAACAGCCGUUGCCAUGGAAACCGGCGGCUGCUCCCAGCGGGGUGUGACGGCCGCGUGGGGAGCAAGGCCCCGCGGGCAGCGGGCCCAGGGCACGGGGCGCGGCGCGUCGAGGGGCUCCCUGGGGGGCUGAGGGCACUGGGAGGGUCUGCGGGUGGCUGCUGGCUGGCACAGUGGUGCAGAGCUGUGAGCUGUGGUGCUAGCAGUGACUCCGGGCCGGCGUGAGGGCGCGAGGCGUUCGGGAGCCGCCUGGAGAGCGCGGUCCUCGGGGAGGUCAGCUUGAUGAAGUCCCGAGGAGAGUGACCAGUGUGGUGAACUCACCCCGCCAACUGCCCACUGCGGGAGGAGCAGCAGCAUGGCUGGAGCCUGCCUUAUGAGACUGGCCCAUCAGCAGCACCUGCCUCAUACUGCCAGGUUCCCUGCAGCGCCCAGGCUGGGAAAUCUACAGGUGAAUGAAGACAACAAGCCCAGCUGCUCCAAACAGCAAGAUGAAGGAGAACAUACAUGUCAGCCUCAUAAUUAUUGUUCUCAGAUCAAUCCAGUUUGGAUCCAGGAAAAGAACUGCACGCAAUCUCCAGAGCGCUCUUCACUCAUAGUCUCGUCCUCUCAUCUGGAAGACUGGCAUAAUAUACCUACAAAAGGUUUCCUGGCUACUUCAAACAAAAACGCCUUCAUUCAGAAGAUUCAGAGCAGUGAGUGGACUUCCAGAAGUAGCAAACAGGUAACUACUGGACCUUCCCUCCUUUAUGUCAGCAUGAAGCUAAUGUACGUUGGAGUUUGAAUUCAUAAAUUAUUUUUUCUGUUCAGUUCAAAUACAUUUAUUUUAUAUAUAUACGUUCCUUACCAUUGGGUAAAAUUUUUAUUCACAUGGCAAACCUCUUGAGGUUUUUAACAGCUUUUACAACCGGGCUUUUGAGUGGUUUUGUGCACGCGUGGGGGGCCGUGUCCUCCAACAUCACAGCUUAACUUUGUGCCAUACUCAAGGUGGUGCAUGUAAUGCAGUGUGGAGGUUCGUGAUUUCUUUAUGUUAGUUCCAUUUCCUAAAACUGUCUGAAGAUUCUUUGUCUGAGAGUCAUAAGCAGGCAAGGAAAACACACAAGCUGUAAAAUGGUCCCUGUAAGUUAGGAAUCAAAAACCAUUGUUACAUGUGAGGGUGGAUUUAAUUCUGCACUUGAGGAAACAACAGGCAACAAAACUUCUGCAAAAGCAGAAAGAAAACAACCUCCUGGCUCACACUCUGUCUAGUUCAUUGCGACGCUACUAUGGUUACUUCAGGAAGAAGAAAAUAGCCUUCAUAACCUUGAAAUGGAACAUUUUGCUGUGGCAGU